ACGGGAGGCAGCAGUGAGGAAUAUUGGUCAAUGGACGAGAGUCUGAACCAGCCAAGUAGCGUGCAGGAUGACGGCCCUAUGGGUUGUAAACUGCUUUUAUAAGGGAAUAAAGUGAGUCUCGUGAGACUUUUUGCAUGUACCUUAUGAAUAAGGACCGGCUAAUUCCGUGCCAGCAGCCGCGGUAAUACGGAAGGUCCGGGCGUUAUCCGGAUUUAUUGGGUUUAAAGGGAGCGUAGGCCGGAGAUUAAGCGUGUUGUGAAAUGUAGAUGCUCAACAUCUGCACUGCAGCGCGAACUGGUUUCCUUGAGUACGCACAAAGUGGGCGGAAUUCGUGGUGUAGCGGUGAAAUGCUUAGAUAUCACGAAGAACUCCGAUUGCGAAGGCAGCUCACUGGAGCGCAACUGACGCUGAAGCUCGAAAGUGCGGGUAUCGAACAGGAUUAGAUACCCUGGUAGUCCGCACGGUAAACGAUGGAUGCCCGCUGUUGGUCUGAAUAGGUCAGCGGCCAAGCGAAAGCAUUAAGCAUCCCACCUGGGGAGUACGCCGGCAACGGUGCAACUCAAAUGAAUUGACGGA
rnacentral:rRNA from 1 species